rnacentral:rRNA from 1 species
AGGACGAACGCUGGCGGCGUGCUUAACACAUGCAAGUCGAGCGGAAAGGCCCUUCGGGGUACUCGAGCGGCGAACGGGUGAGUAACACGUGAGCAAUCUGCCCUUAGCUUCGGGAUAGCCCCGGGAAACCGGGAUUAAUACCGAAUAUGACCUUGGCCGACAUCGGCCUUGGUGGAAAGUUUUUCGGCUAGGGAUGAACUCGCGGCCUAUCAGCUUGUUGGUGGGGUAAUGGCCUACCAAGGCGACGACGGGUAGCCGGCCUGAGAGGGCGACCGGCCACACUGGGACUGAGACACGGCCCAGACUCCUACGGGAGGCAGCAGUGGGGAUAUUGCGCAAUGGGCGAAAGCCUGACGCAGCGACGCCGCGUGGGGGAUGAAGGCCUUCGGGUUGUAAACCCCUUUCAGCAGGGACGAAGCGAGAGUGACGGUACCUGCAGAAGAAGCGCCGGCUAACUACGUGCCAGCAGCCGC